rnacentral:rRNA from 1 species
GGACUACCCGGGUUUCUAAUCCUGUUUGCUCCCCUUGCUCUCGCGCCUCAGCGUCAGGUAUAAACUAGAAAACCGCUUUCGCCACCGAUGUUCUUCCACAUAUCUACGCAUUUCACCGCUACACGUGGAAUUCCGUUUUCUCCGUCAAUCCUCUAGAAAUAUAGUUUCAAAUGCAGCUCCAAAGUUGAGCUUUGGAAUUUCACAUCUGACUUAUCUUUCCGCCUACGCGCCCUUUACGCCCAAUAAUUCCGAUUAAUGCUUGCACUCUCCGUAUUACCGCGGCUGCUGGCAC